AUUAUAUUUUACAAAAUAUUUUCUAUUAAAGUUAUUUCAUUUUAUGCUUUACCAGCUCCAAUAAGAAAGCAUGAUAUGAUAUUUUCAUAGGAUUAUGGACUUGGAAGAUUCCUUAUUGCAUCAGCGGGUUUAUAAUGAUUGCUAAUAAUUUCAUAUACCAUAAAUCUGGCAAUUAUUAAUCUUCAAAGGCACUUCAGGUUAAGUUUCUAUAGUCUUUUAUUCAUCACCAAGCUAAAAGAAAAAAGAUCAGCACCUCCUGUACAGCUAUUGAAAAGCGUCUGAGGAGAAUUAAGGUAGCAGUGACCUUGUAAGGAACAGAAACCCCCAGCAUUCUGACACUUCAAAACCCAGCUUAUCAUCCAGAUCUGUCAUUGUUCUACUUUGAUUUAGAUUUAAUGCUUCCAAGAAAACAACUCUUCUCACAAACAGAAUCACUCCCAAUCAUUAGCCCAUCUUCCCUCGUGAACAAUGUGGUGAGGAGGGGUGAGAGGGAAGAGGAGCCUGGAUAUGCAUCUGCAGAAACAAAGGUGGCGGCAAGAUGACUCCAGCAGCUUUCUGCAAAUGAAUAUGAAUGGAUAAUUGAGGUUUAUAAGACAUGCGAAAAUAGCUAAAGUGUAAAAAGAAAUGACUUAAAAACAACAAAAAAUCUGAGAAACUGUCACAGGCAAAAGAAAACUAAAUGUAAUAUGCGAUCCUGAAGGGGAUCUGAAACUGAAAAGAUCAUUAUACUUUAUUUUAAAAUAAUAUAUCAUCAAUAUUGUUUUAUUCACGUUGACAGAUAUACCAUCACAGUGAAAGAUGUUUAUACUAGAAACAACUGGGAGUCGUGUAGAUGGGAAUCCUCUGUAUUAUUUUCAUGAAUAUUCUAUAAACUUAAAGAUAUUCUAAAAUACAAAUUGUACUUAAAAUUAAAACAAUAAUAAUAAAUUAUAAGCUGGACAUGGUGGCAUGCAUCUUUAGGCUUAUAGGCAAGAAAAUCACUUGAACUUGGGAAUUUGAGGCCAGCCUGGGCAACGAACUGAGAUGCUGCUUCUGAAAAAUAUAAAAAUAAUAAGUUAGUAUUUUACAGCUUUAUUCAGGUAUGUUUUACAAAUAAAUUGUAUAUAUUUAGGAUGCACAAUGUGAUGUUUUGAUAUAUGUAUUGUGAAAUGAUUACCAUAAUGAAGAUAUAUUUAUUAUUGUUAUUGUAAUUAUUAUUAUAGGAUUAAAAACAAAUGAGUUAAAAUAUUGUAAAUGGUGAGUCUGGGC
rnacentral:lncRNA from 10 species